CUUUCAGGAAGUCUCUAGGAGGGCUUGACAAAUCUCUAUUUGACUUCUAUAUGGAUCAUAAAGUGAAAUGUUUGAAGAGGAAGUUAUCAUGUGCUGGAAGAAGAAACAUGAAACUGAAGCUGUGUACUGAUUUCCCGUUUAUUCUAUUUCCCUGCUUCAAUGGCCACUUAAUUUUGGUCUUCACUCAAUUUUCUGAUGUGAAACCUCGGAUUCUUGCGUGGAGAGGGUUCUGUUCAAAAAUCUUCAGCGAGUAAGAGUAUGGAUUUUGAUGCAUCUGAUGUUCCAUUUGCUACAAGAGUUCAGUCAAAUUUUGGUGAUCAUUUUGGCUUUGAGUUUGCUCAUGAACUUGUGGAUCUUGUUCAGGCCAGACAUCAAGAGAAGCCUAAGAUUUUUGUUGAAUGUUCAGAGUCUCUCAUUGUUGAUGUAUUGAAUUGUGUGUUGCAAUCUUCUUUUCUUGCAAACAUUCAUGCUUCCGUGGAAGUUUUUGGCAGUAAGAAUCAUUCACUGAGCAAGUUCUCAUUUGAGUGUUUCUAUUCAAUCUGCUAUCCCCAAUACAAAGUCUGCGAGAUUUGAUGAUAUUCCAGGGAAGUGAUAUCCGUUUUGUUUAUUGGGAGGCAAGUUCAAGCAGAGAUGUUUAACGGCUCUUUUGCUUCUACCUUUUGUUGUCAGGUGUGGUACAGGGAAGCUGCUGGGAGGGAUCACGUGGGGUUUUAUUGUUCUUUUGGUUUAGUUGACAACUGGGUCUUCUUUUUUUAGCCCGACCCGUUUAGUGGGAAUGAGAAGUAUCAGUGGUUUUGGGCAAAUACAGAUGUCAAUAGAACAUUGCUCAGAAAAUUUGAAUGAUAUCCAAUUGGAAAAUAGUCAAAUGUUAAAUAGGUAGUCCCAAAUUAAA